UUCUUCGGUUACAAGUGUGUGUUCUUUUUCAUCGUCUACAAGAUUUACCCAUAAGCAAUACCCUCAUUUUUGACAGCGCACAACUAAAUCCUUGGCUCUUGGGAAAGUAAGUUGUAGUCUCUCAUAUCAGCAAAAACAAUUUUCAUAUUUCAGAGGUUAGUGAACUUCCUUGAUCGUCCAUGGCCGAUAAAUCUAUGGACAAUAUUGAGUUGAAGGUCUUGGUGAACAACGUGAGCAACAAAGUGAUCUUUGUAGAGUCUGAUGAUGAUUUUAUUGAUGUUCUCUUCAGUUUCUUGACAGUCCCCAUGGGAACAGUUAUUAGGCUUUCCCAUCGUUCACAACCCUUGGGAAUUGGUUGCAUGGACAACAUAUAUGGAAGUGUGGAGAGUUUUGACUCACAGCUUUUCCGAACUGAAGAAUGUAGAGCCAUGCUGUUACGUCCCCGCAAUAGGACAGAAUAUUUGUUGGACAACCUCAAACUGAAAUUUGAUGAUUGCGAACCCACGCGGUACUUUACGUGUUCUAAUCCACAUUGCAGAAUUUUUCGGAACAGUCUUGUUUUUAGUUAUUACCAAACGGUUCGUUGUCCUCGUUGUGAGCGUCUAAUGGACACGGAGACCACCCUUCCAGUGUCUGGUGCUGAAGAUGGUGAGGUCUUUGUAAAAGGUCCAGCCAGAUUUAUAAUUAGUGAUGAUUUACAAGUGAUGCCCCCAUUUACUUCUACAAGCUCUUCUUUAGUUAAGAACCUCGGAUUCACGGGAUGGAAUAGCAUUGAGGAGUAGACAGUCAAUGUACGAGUUGAUGAGGUUUUGAAGUUGCUUAUGUGCUCAUUAGUAUCAAAGAUGCCUUUGACUGAAACUCUGCUGAAGCAUGAACCCCUCCCAGAAUUGAG